GGCAGGCAUCUCUACCCUCUGCCUCUACCUCUGCUAACAAAAGAAUGACUUUGGUCUCUCCCCAGAAAUGAGAGCUGUUUGAAGUGGACGCCGCGGCUACCUACAAUUUGGGAGACCUGCACUGAGUUGGACCCAUCGGAAGAAUUCCAUCCGAUGGGGACGGCUCGGAGCCCAGUGCAGGAGGGAAGCGGUGACUGCCUUUCAGGAGAGGAAAGGCAGGAGCACCACAGGCCACGGCUGUCCACCAUUUUGGAGACCUCCACUGAGUUGG